rnacentral:rRNA from 1 species
CCUACGGGCGGCAGCAGUGAGGAAUAUUGGUCAAUGGACGAGAGUCUGAACCAGCCAAGUAGCGUGAAGGAUGACUGCCCUAUGGAUUGUAAACUUCUUUUAUAUGGGAGUAAAAUGUUCCACGUGUGGGGUUUUGUAUGUACCCGAUGAAUAAGCAUCGGCUAACUCCGUGCCAGCAGCCGCGGUAAUACGGAGGAUCCGAGCGUUAUCCGGAUUUAUUGGGUUUAAAGGGAGCGUAGGUGGAAUGUUAAGUCAGUUGUUAAAGUUUGGGGCUCAACCGUAAAAUUGCAGUUGAAACUGGUAGUCUUGAGUACAGUAGAGGUGGGCGGAAUGCGUGGUGUAGCGGUGAAAUGCUUAGAUAUCACGAAGAACUCCGAUUGCGAAGGCAGCUUACCGGACUGCAACUGACACUGAGGCUCGAAAGUGUGGGUAUCAAACAGGAUUAGAUACCCGUGUAGUC